rnacentral:lncRNA from 1 species
AAGAUAUUACCCUUGUUGUUGGAGAAGAUGCUAGUGGUAUUGGUAAUGAUUUAGAUGUUCCUUCCAUUAUUGAAGAUGAUGCCUUUGAAUUGGAAGAGAAUGAGGAGGAGGAGGAUCCAUAUGACUAUCAUGAUAUGAGAAUACAUAAUAUUUUAGAUGAUUAGACUUGUUUGUUAGAUUUAUGUCUUGUUUGUUAUAUUUAUGUUUUUUGAGCUACUUAUUUUGAACCUGGUCUUUUGAACUUAUUGAAUUAUAAAAUUAUGGUUAUG